rnacentral:lncRNA from 1 species
GCGGGCCAUCAUCUUCUUCCUUCUCUUCCUUUCGGCCCCCGGUGCCUCCUCGGAACGAGACUCUAGAGCGAAAACCUCAGUCGGAGGGCUUCUUGAAGAGCGGGCUCGAUGUUGGAGGGGGCGUCAACGACAAUGGCCACCUGGGCAAGCACGGUCGAGCUUGUCUCCUCUACCCUCGCCUUCUUCGCCGACCCAGAAGUUGCGGUGUCUUUUCUCUUAUGGGCCUUG